GAUGAACGCUAGCGGCAGGCCUAACACAUGCAAGUCGAGGGGUAGCAGGAUUAAGCUUGCUUAAUUGCUGACGACCGGCGCACGGGUGCGUAACGCGUAUGCAACCUACCUUAUACUGGGGUAUAGCCCGGAGAAAUUCGGAUUAAUCCCCCAUAGUACUAUUUGAUCGCAUGGUUGAAUAGUUAAAGCAUUGCGGUAUAAGAUGGGCAUGCGUCCUAUUAGCUAGAUGGUGAGGUAACGGCUCACCAUGGCUACGAUAGGUAGGGGGCCUGAGAGGGUGGUCCCCCACACUGGUACUGAGACACGGACCAGACUCCUACGGGAGGCAGCAGUGAGGAAUAUUGGUCAAUGGGCGCAAGCCUGAACCAGCCAUGCCGCGUGCAGGAAGAAUGCCCUAUGGGUUGUAAACUGCUUUUAUUUGGGAAUAAACCUCCUUACGUGUAGAGAGCUGAAGGUACCAAAAUGAAUAAGCACCGGCUAACUCCG
rnacentral:rRNA from 1 species